rnacentral:rRNA from 1 species
UACAGAGGGUGCGAGCGUUAAUCGGAAUUACUGGGCGUAAAGCGUGCGCAGGCGGUUAUGCAAGACAGAUGUGAAAUCCCCGGGCUCAACCUGGGAACUGCAUUUGUGACUGCAUCGCUGGAGUGCGGCAGAGGGGGAUGGAAUUCCGCGUGUAGCAGUGAAAUGCGUAGAUAUGCGGAGGAACACCGAUGGCGAAGGCAAUCCCCUGGGCCUGCACUGACGCUCAUGCACGAAAGCGUGGGGAGCAAACAGG